GAUUUUCUUGAUAGAGGUUUGCUGCUCACAAGGAAGCUAUUAAACCAAGAGUUCCAAAUGGUGAAGUUGAAAUCAUCCCUUCGUAAAUUUUACGGACGCCAUCACAAGUUGGUUGACCGUUAUGGAAUAACCGUUUCACAAAUGAUAUCGGAUAUGUUCCUUACGUCGUAACUACAACCCCCUUCCCUUUCAUGAAUAUGACCUACCGAAUUAGACUAUUUACCGGAUUUGUAAUCACUUAAGCAACACGACGGGUGCCACAUGUGGAGCAGGAUCUGCUUACCCUUCCGGAGCACCUGAGAUCACCCCUAGUUUUUGGUGGGGUUCGUGUUGUUUAUUCUUUAGUUUUCUAUGUUGUGUCGUGUGUACUAUUGUUUUUCUGUUUGUCUUUUUUAUUUUUAGCCAUGGCGUUGUCAGUUUG
rnacentral:lncRNA from 1 species